CUCUCUCUCUCUCUCUCACACACACACACACACACACAGAAUGAGUCCCUUCAAACCACAAAACAUCAGGAACUAUCCAUGAACAUUCUGAUCACAAAACAUGGUUCUGUUACUGUGGAAAACCAACCUGAUUUUUCAGGAGGCAAAGCUUUCCCCUCCUUUUCAUUGUAAGAAGACAGAUCCUAAGAGUUCUUUUCUCUGUUCCCAAAAUGCAUAGAAUCUGCUCAUAUUGGAGAUCAAUGCAACAUUUUAAGGUAUGUUUUUGCUUUUACUUUCCUCCCUCUGAAAGUCCAUGCCAUGCAUACUUUGUCCCAGCUCUAAUUGAAGGGCAUCCAUUCUUCUCAAACAGUACUUUGCUCAAGAAUAUUUAUGUAGAUGCCUUAAGCUAGCUAUGCAUUUAUGGCAUUCCUAUGAAUUUCAUAGAGUUUUCUUAGGAAGGAUGAGUCAAGAGAUGGUUUUGACAGUUCCUUCCUCUCAAAUCUAGCCUACGGAACCUGGUAUGCAUUGGUGGUCUUCUAUGCAAUAUUAACCAGGGUUGAAGGUUGAUUCUGCUUAGCUUCCAAGAUCUGAUCAGGCAAUGGAAAGCAUGAAGUUCAUUAACUAUAAGAUUUGGAAAGUGGCAAAAUAAAAGUGGGAGAAACAGAAUUGAAAUGUUGUGGAAUUGAAAUGUUGGGAAAUUGGGAAAGCAAUGCUGGUUGUGCUUCCGGGUGCUAGCCAAAUCCUGACUGAGGUUCAGACAGCUCUCCAAGCACCACCGGAGUGUAAAGCCUCUGGGAGGCUAGUUUCGUAUCUAUCACAGGGCAAAUUUGUCAUGUAGACCAGUAGUCCCUCUUCUGGCUGCCUGAUGCAAAAUAAUGGGCUGGACCACUGCACCACUUAGAAGCAUUUUUUGAUCACACUCUUUCCUUUGUUAAGGCAGUGUUCAUAAUCAUAAAUUAAUGAAAGAAAAAGCUUUUUCAAUUUCAGCAUCUCUUUGAUAACCCCUCUCAAUUUUUUUUGUUUUAGAGCUUCAGAUAUAGAGACAACUAAAUGGAUUGAGCUUCAGAUGUUCUUGGAUCAGAAUAAUUUAGAAGUCCUUGGAUUAUUCAUAAGCAGCAUAAACAGAGGCAAAGAAUUUUGAGGAAUGAAUUUAUUAUCAUGUCACAACCAUGCAUAUUUAAGCAAUGUUCAUUUUGGAAUUAAUCCAUCAAGUACAGAUUCACUUGGCUGAAUUGUCUUAAACCUCAAAGAGCUAGGUCUGAGCCCUUCAGCCACCAGAGAAUCAAAAGAACAAAAGAAUAUGUGGGAAGACAUUUGUGUGGGGAAUUCCUGUAGCUGACCCCAAGUGACGCCUCAGUAUCUGAACCUUAUUCACAUCUCCAAAUACAACACUCAGCAAAUUGGCCACCAGAUGAAAAAGACAUUUGUUGCCUGUUUUGAAUAACCUUUGUGGUCUAGGAUUUUUCCUCCCUGACAUUCGAUUCCUUUAGGCUCAAUAUGAGAAGAGAAGUUGUGAGUUUGACAUCUGGUUUAGACAGUUUAUUAGAUACCAUUGUUGUUGAGAUGGAAUCAAUAAUUAACUGUUAUUCAUACAUAUGUGAUCUGUGUUUUAAUCUGUUUUAUUUUAUUUGAUCUGUUGUGUUGAUAGUGUUUAUUUAGUUAUUUAUAUAUGUUUUAACUUUGUUCAUAGUUUGUUUUUGUGCCUGGCCCCAUUUUAGCCGCCCCGAGUCCCUUUGGGGAGAUGGAGGAGGGAUAGAAAAAUAAAGUGUUAUUAUUGUAGUAGUAGUAGUAGUUGUUGUUGUUGUAUUUAAUGUUAAUUGUAACACAAAAAGUUAAAAAAUGUUAUUGUGCAUUUCAUACCAACACAGCGAUGUGUAUAUACUAGAAGAUACAAUAGAGUCUUGCUGGCUUUGUUCUUUUAGGAACUUCAAAAUAUCUAUGUAUAGAAAAGCCAAGCAUAAUAAAAAAAUAUUCUUUUAUUUCAUGUACAUUUGUAUGUAUGUGUGAAAAUAUCUGUAUAUAUACUGUCAUAUUGUAUACAGAGUUGACUCUACAUUGGCGAGUUUGACUUUGGUGGACUUGAUAAUUCAUGUAUUUGAUUAAAAUAUACCUCUCUAGGAUUCUAUUUUUCCCCCAAAAUUUAUUUUGUACAAUUCUGCAAAAUAACAAUGGAUUCUAAACUUUAUGGUUGUACAUGUGCUGUGUGGUACGCUCCACAUUCAUUCAACGAACUAUUUACAUACAUCUUCUUAUAUACAUCUUUUUAAAAAAUGAACUUUCAACUAAUUUUUCAUAAUUAAAAAAAAUCUGUGUUUCCCACCCAUCACCCAUCUCUCUGACCUCAGAUUUCCCAUCCAUCGCCCAUCUCUCUGACUUAUCUUUAACCAUAGUUUUCUUAAUUUCUAUAUGAUGAUUGUAUUGGCUUCAUCCUUUUUAACUCAUUCCAUAUAUGUCAUCCAUUUAUUCUUUAUUUCUUCUAUUUUAUCCUCUUGUGCAUCCUCCCCCGUUACACUUAUUAUAACUUGAAAUUUAACCUAAUAAAAUAAUUAUUCCGA